rnacentral:rRNA from 1 species
CUACGGGCCGCACCAGUGGGGAAUUUUGGACAAUGGGGGCAACCCUGAUCCAGCAAUGCCGCGUGAGUGAAGAAGGCCUUCGGGUUGUAAAGCUCUUUUGUCAGGGAAGAAACACCGGCUCUAACACAGUCCGGGAAUGACGGUACCUGAAGAAUAAGCACCGGCUACUACGUGCCAGCAGCCGCGGUAAUACGUAGGGUGCGAGCGUUAAUCGGAAUUACUGGGCGUAAAGCGUGCGCAGGCGGUUAUACAAGACAGGCGUGAAAUCCCCGGGCUUAACCUGGGAAUGGCGCCUGUGACUGUAUAGCUAGAGUGUGUCAGAGGGGGGUAGAAUUCCACGUGUAGCAGUGAAAUGCGUAGAUAUGUGGAGGAAUACCAAUGGCGAAGGCAGCCCCCUGGGAUAACACUGACGCUCAUGCACGAAAGCGUGGGGAGCAAACAGGAUUAGAUACCCCCGUAGUC